UGAAUUCUUCGACGCUGUUGCCGCAUGCAGGAUACCUAGGGGAUAUAUUUGCAAGGUUCUCCCAAUUGAUAGCUGAGAGUCGCUGGGGACCUAACCGUGAUGCUUACUCGAAAUGACGGGCUUGAUAUGUAGUUUAUCUCCGUCCAGUAGAUCAGGAAGAUUCCCCAGAGAAUCCCCCGCUCACAACCAAAACCAACCAAGCAUUGAAAGUGUCCAGUAUAAACCCUCUGUAGAAUAACGUAACUGCCCUGUUGCUAAGACAUCGUACUAGUUGAACAAAAUAUCUGAUCUUCCAGCAAGAACAACUGGUUGAAUUUCGCCAAAUCCACAGUUCGAUAGACUUUGAGCAAGCAUUGAAUAAUUACAAUGCAGCUCAAAGUCUCCAAAAAAAAAAAAAAAAAAAAAAAAAAAAAAAAAAAAAACCAACACACACACACACAC
rnacentral:sRNA from 1 species